rnacentral:rRNA from 1 species
CCUACGGGAGGCAGCAGUGGGGAAUAUUGCACAAUGGGGGAAACCCUGAUGCAGCGACGCCGCGUGAGUGAAGAAGUAUUUCGGUAUGUAAAGCUCUAUCAGCAGGGAAGAAGAAAGACGGUACCUGACGAAGAAGCCCCGGCUAACUACGUGCCAGCAGCCGCGGUAAUACGUAGGGGGCAAGCGUUAUCCGGAUUUACUGGGUGUAAAGGGAGCGGAGACGGCUGGGCAAGUCUGAAGUGAAAGCCCAGGGCUCCACCCUGGGACUGCUUUGGAAACUGUUGUGCUAGAGUGCGGGAGAGGUAACUGUACUUCCUGGUGUAGCGGUGAAAUGCGUUGAUAUUAGGAGGAACACCAGUGGCGAAGGCGUCUUACUGGACAGUACCUGACGUUGAGGCUCGAAAGCGUGGGGAGCAAACAGGAUUAGAUACCCGUGUAGUC